rnacentral:rRNA from 1 species
UACAGAGGGGGCAAGCGUUGUUCGGAAUUACUGGGCGUAAAGGGCGCGUAGGCGGCCUGUUAAGUCGAACGUGAAAUCCCUAGGCUCAACCUGGGAACUGCGUCCGAUACUGGCAGGCUUGAAUCCGGGAGAGGGAUGCGGAAUUCCAGGUGUAGCGGUGAAAUGCGUAGAUAUCUGGAGGAACACCGGUGGCGAAGGCGGCAUCCUGGACCGGCAUUGACGCUGAGGCGCGAAAGCCAGGGGAGCAAACGGG